UGGUCAUCUUCUUGACCCGCCUUUGGACCCACUCCAACAACUCCACAUCUUUCUUGUGCUGGGUGCCAGACCUGUAUGCAGCACUCCACUCAGGAUGGUGUCCCUACACAUUCACACUUGGGGUCUUGACUCUCUUGACAUGCAUCCAUCACCAGAACAACCUACGGUACUGCUACAGACAUGACAUCUUAGUGAGUCCCCUCUGGGGGGGCUAAGCAGCUGGAGGAGGUUGUCUCAUUACGGAGUAUUAACUGAGCCAGGGAAGCAAGCAAAGGCAGACAGGACUUCCCAUUCCACAGAGGACUGCUGAGCACCAUUGAGUGUUGGUUAACACCUUGCAGAAUAGGAUUAAAGAGGAUUACAUUGAUUAAGGAAAGGUAUUUCCACCUGUAUGAAUGAUUUGAGGAAACAAAGACAACAGACUGGGGAGGAGGAGAUAUCUUUGUUUUUGUUCUGAAUAAAUUUAGGUUCAUAAUCAAUGAGACUUUUCUCAAGAAAAGAAUUUACUAUCAAUUAUGACAUAUCAGGUAUCUCUGCUGGUAGGAUCCUGGCAUUUUUCCUGAAAUGGCAUUUGGCAUCCUGAAAAGGAUUUGUUUACUUGUUGGAGUUUUUGUGUGUUUUAUGAUGUGUUUUGGGAUUCUGAGGUAUUGGCUUAUUCAUUUGCUUACUUAUUCCAAAAGAGAUCACGAUUUUACAGUGGGAAGUUUAUCUCCGGAAAUUUUUCCAGGAAGUGGAUCUAUCAGUUCAGUUGUUUACUCAGAGAGAUUCCCUUUUUUCCACAUCUCUUAGCUAUGCUGUAAGUUACUACUUUGCAGUAGGAGACACAAGAUUGGUGUUUCAUCUGAUACUCUCUGGGCAUGUAGCUUUGCUGUCCAAUGACUGGCACAUUCCUGAAAGAAUGAUUUACUUCUGAUCUAUGUUCCUACCUCCUUCCAUGUGGUUUUCAACCUUAUGAAUUGAGGUCCAUUUAAGAAGUUGAGGAAUGAAGGACAAUGUCAUCAGUCCGAAAGUUGUUAAUUGUAGUCUUAUUUACUGGCCAUGUAUUGGCUAACUCCCCUCAGAUAGAGUUAGUUGGUAGUUUCUGGUUUGCUUUUUAAAAUAAAUGAAAUUUCAUAUGUUUUAUGAGUGUUCUAAUCCUUUAGGUAAGUCUCAGGCUCCUUCAAAUACUUCAGAUCUUGUGUCUUUCUCUCUGGUGAAGGAUGAAGUUCUUUUAAGUAUUUUAAGUCCUAGGAACAAUUUCUUUCACCACUGUUUUGGUUGAUGCUCUCUUGAAGUAAUGAACAUGUGUUCAUUAUUUCAAUGGAAGUCAUAGAUUACAUACUGAGCAAUGGAAUUUAUUAUAUUCUGAGUCACUUAAAAGUUAAAUAAGAUAAUAUUUAGAAUUAGACUUCUAAAGCUUCAUUGUGAAUAUGUUCGUACCCUGUUCACUCCAUCCCAGAAACCCUUCAUUUGAAGUGAAUAGCUGAGUACAACAAGGGAGCUAGUAUGUAUUCUAGGAAAAUAUUUCAGAUUGAAUCAGGAUAAUAAUUUGACCUAAAAAAAAAUUACCAGAGUUUCUCCUAAAAGAUUUUUACACAGGGAGAUCUUGUUUUAAGGGACAGUAUGUUUUCCAAAGAUGUGAGGAUGAUAAUAUAUUUUUGUUUACAAACUGUAUUGAUGUAU
ensembl:lncRNA